rnacentral:rRNA from 1 species
UUGACGGGGCCCGCACAAGCGGUGGAGCAUGUGGUUUAAUUCGAAGCAACGCGAAGAACCUUACCAGGUCUUGACAUCCCCUGACAACCCAAGAGAUUGGGCGUUCCCCUUCGGGGGACAGGGUGACAGGUGGUGCAUGGUUGUCGUCAGCUCGUGUCGUGAGAUGUUGGGUUAAGUCCCGCAACGAGCGCAACCCUCGCCUCUAGUUGCCAGCAUUCGGUUGGGCACUCUAGAGGGACUGCCGGCGACAAGUCGGAGGAAGUGGGGAUGACGUCAAAUCAUCAUGCCCCUUAUGACCUGGGCUACACACGUGCUACAAUGGGCGGUACAAAGGGCUGCGAACCCGCGAGGGGGAGCGAAUCCCAAAAAGCCGCUCUCAGUUCGGAUUGCAGGCUGCAACUCGACUGCAUGAAGUUGGAGUUGCUAGUAACCGCAGGUCAGCUAUACUGCGGUGAAUACGUUCCCGGGGAUU